CUGUAGAGUGAGAACUCUUCCUCAUCUUGAAAGUGAUAUUCAUUUUUUGAGAAUUUUUUUACUUAUCGUAUAAAAGCUCCGAAUCGGUAUCAUCCAGUUUCCUGCCUCUACUAUUAUUAUGCAUUGACGGUUUAUUUCGUAAUUCUAUUACAAAUAAAUCCCUUAUUUUUCAAUAUUAAUGUACUUGCUUUUCCCUUUCUAGUUUUUCACUUUUGAAGUUGAGCACCUUUUAAUUUCUUUCCUGACAUAACCUGGAACAAAAAGAUAACAUCCCAAUUCAGUUAAUGUGAAUGAUUUUACAAGACAGCUGUAUUUAAUCUUAACAUAAAAGCUGGCGUCUGAAAAGAGCACAUAAAAAGAUGCAAUUUGAAACAGAUAAAAAUAAACUGACUGGUAAUCUACUUGCAUAAGUCUAGACUUUGUGUCUCAGUGCGGGAUAUAAGAAAUCCUACUUUCCAUCGAAGUCUUCAGACAGGAAAAGACAACAUGAAAUCAAACAUCUUCCUAAGCGACGCUAGGCUUCCCUUCAACAAUAGACGUCAUUUCCAUUAUCUACCGACAGCAGAUACUUAGACGCCUCUCUGUAUCCCCACCCGGCCGCAUCCAACCCCUUCGAUGCGAAGUAAACAAGCUGGUGACUUUCGACCCCGCUCUCCCCCCACCACAGUGAAUGUUAUGUUAUCCUCCAGCGAACAAAGCAUCCCGUGUCAACUAUUGUUCAUAGCUGCUAUCGCAAAGGAAAAGUUUCACAGGACCACUGUGCUUGAUUACAAUGUCACGUGGUUUCCAAUCUGCCAUGACAGCAAGCUUAAGUUGAAAUACCGACUCGCCGAUGAUCAAAGAUUGAUUGCCAAAAAGCUGCUUCAGGCUCUUCCCUCUCCAAUUCCACUAAAGUCCCCCAAGGCUCCCAAAACCUCAACCAUAUGUCAACAUCAACAAGAUAUUGUUUAUUCGAGGACAUAUGUUUAAGUUCACAAAGGGGGUAUCAGGAAGUCUCUUCCCUAAUGUUUCAGGAAGCAGAAGCAUCAAGAGUCCACUGAUAACAGACAAGCAUCCUGGAACUGCCAUAGGUACCGAAUGAUGAGUGACAUCUGCCUGUGUAAAUGAAACAAAGUUUCAAAAAUCACAAAAAGAAUGGAGGAUCUCAUUUCACAAUGCAAUUAAAAUGCUAUAAUGAGUUACUAAAAAGACUUCACUAGUU